rnacentral:ncRNA from 10 species
AGCUGACCCUUCUGCUGACGGAUCUUGUGGAGCACCACAGUGCAGAAGGGGAGAGAAGCUUUAAUGCCGACCGUCUGGGCAGCCUUG